GAGAAUAAGGACAUUAUAAGCUCUGGGCAGAGGGAGGCUCGCGAUAGAAGCUCUCUCGAUCUUGACAGAAAAAUCGGAGAAAGGGGAGCAACGCAAAGCAGAAAAGAGAGGGGGUCUGGGUCGCAAAAGGAAAACGCCGAAACAAGAGACUC